rnacentral:sRNA from 1 species
GCUGCUCUUUGCUAGGCCAAAUAGUAUCCCAGCCUUCUGCCGGCUACUAGCUACCUGUAGAGGUAUAUGAAGUUGAAGAAAUAUGGAGAUCAACACAAAACUGUUCAUCAGUGUUACCUGUACCAGCUUUUUCACCUUUCAGCUUCUUUUCUACUUUGUAAGUUACUGGUUUUCAGCAAAAGUUUCUCCAGGUUUCAAUAGUCUCAGCUUCAAAAAGAAGAUUGAAUGGAACUCAAGGGUAGUAUCCACAUGCCAUUCUUUGGUGGUUGGUAUUUUUGGCCUGUACAUUUUCUUAUUCGAUGAGGCUACUAAAGCUGAUCCACUUUGGGGUGGUCCAUCACUUGCAAAC